rnacentral:rRNA from 1 species
UACGGAGGUGGCAAGCGUUACUCGGAAUCAUUGGGUGUAAAGGGCAAGUAGGUGGUUUCCUAAGUGAGGGGUGAAAUUUCUCGACUCAAUCGAGAAACUGCCUUUCAAACUGAGAGACUUGAGGUAGAAAAAGGGAAAUGGAAUUCUCGGUGUAAGGGUGAAAUCUGUAGAUAUCGAGAAGAACACCUGCUGCGAAGGCGAUUUCCUAGAUCUAUCCUGACACUAAACUGCGAAAGCUAGGGGAGCAAACAGA